AUAGACCCAGACAAAGGGCCUCUUCGCAGCGCGAAACGCCCCACUCACUUCAGGCAGCCCUCUUCCCAAGAGCAACAUAUGGAAAGACAUUCGAUGUCCAUGGACAGAUGCUUGGCUGAGCAAGCAGCUGUCCUUCGCCCCAACACAUGCGGACUCAGCGAUCAACCUGCGCAGAAAACGGUGCCAUGGGCAGCCACCGUGUUGCGGAGAGAAAUGCUCACACGAAAUGAAAGAGGUCUGGGAGGGAGACACACAGCUCUUGGGAAACCCCUGCCCGCUCCCAUCUCACCAGGGACACCCUGGGACGGUCUUCCAGGAAAGCAAGCCCUGGACCGCCAUCCAGAUGGCGCUUGCCAAAUGGGAGGGCGAGGCUGUGGGCAUGCCUGGCAUUGGGGAGGUCCGAGAUCCAAACCCUAGCCCUGGACGGGGGGUGCCAGAGCCCUCCUUCCAUGCAGCAGAUGCUACGAGGUCUAGUCCCUCUUCUUGGCACCCAAGGGAGGAGAAGGGGAGCCAAACAGGAUGGAUAGACAUGGCCGAUGGGAUCCCUUUGUUGGGAAACUGCAAUGGAGCCACUUCGGUCAGCGACCAGCCAAAAGGAGUCCUGACCAUUCCACCCCAACACAGGAGCGUCUCAGCGCUCCCCACAGAAGGUGUGCCGCUCGGGAGUGCUGCCCCUCGGGAAAAGAGACGGGCCCAAGGACUCCGUGGAUCCCGUCCAGAUUGCCUAGACUAGCCCAUCAGACCCGACCGAAUUCCCUGGCGAGGAGGAAGUGAUGAGGAUAAAGACAUGCUUCGUCUGGAGUGGAUUGACUUCCCCAGGUGUUCUCCUGCACCCGUGUGCGGCAUGCAGAUCCACUCUGCUCGGCAAAAGCAUCCACUCCCAGGCUGGGCAUCCCCAGGCUGCCACUUCCAACCCAUUCCCACCCAAGAUAUUGGCUCACGAGAGACGUAGGAUGGAUUUGUCUCUCCAGGUCCUAGCUAUUGUUUCCUACUCUAUCUGAAUGCAUAUGCGUGUGGGUGUGUUUGGAGAGAGAGAGAGAGAGAGAAAGAGAGAGAGAGAGAGAGGGAGGGAGAAUGAGAGACCCAGGGAGAGAACGAGAGAUGGACCUUCACUCAUUUCUGGAUCCAUUCAGCUCAUUCAUUUCAAUGCCUCUUCUUCCUUGUCCAUGGAUUUGGGUGCCCCCUGCCACACGGAGAUGUGGUCUAGCCAGAGGGGGAUCGCCCAGUGCAGCUCUUGCCCCAGCCACAGCAGGGACCAGGAGAGCCUCUGAAGCUUGGCAGCCACGUGGGAACUCCCCUGAGAGCUUGCUUGAGAUCAAUCAGGAGGCCUUAACGCAUCAGACCUGGUUUCAAUCAGGCCUCCAUAGCCUGGCACCCUGCUGCCAAGAGAGGCUCUUCUCAAAACGACACAAGGACAUUUCCCUCAGCCUCCUCAGAGUGUGUGUGUGUGUGUGUUUGUGUGUGUGUGAGAGGGAAAGAGACAGAGGGAGGGAAACAGGCGGAUGAGCCCAGCUAUCAACACUCUUGCCCCCGAAGCCCCCCAUGGAUUCCUCAGCACCACACUCCUUCUCACCUACCUGAAGCCCUAAUGCGGAGGGCUUGACCAGGGCCAGCUGGCGGCCCAAUCCUGAGGCUGUGUGUGUCUGGGCGCCUGCCUCGAAGGAACCCCAAGCACGCCAAAGCCCAGGGCCUGUUUCAAGCCUUCCAAACCCACUGCCACCCAACCAGGUGGC
rnacentral:lncRNA from 1 species